UCCCAUCUCCCCCCUGGUUAUCUUUCAUUCCAAUGGGAAUGGAAUGUGUAUAAUAAAGUGAAAAGACCAAAAUGCCCUUAUCAAUUUCACUCCAACACUUCUUCUCAGGUUUUUACUCCUCAUUUCAUCAGAAACCCAAACCCUAGCAGAGCCCCAAUUUCAUCGAAACUAAAACCUAGCCGAGCUUCUUCCCCAAAUUCAUGGAGGCUCCACCGGCGUUAGCACCGUCUCGCCGCCGAUUUGAGUUUGCACGACCAUCCCUCACCUUAUUCUAGAAGAAAAUUCACUUCAAUCCUUCGUUUGCGUUCGUGUUCCAUCAUCGCAGCUCACGUCGGUUCACCGCCACUGUAUGCUUGCCGUCGUCGCUGCCGCGCCUCUAGCCGGAUCCUCCGCGUCGCGUGCUCGCGUUUGGUCUCUCUCCUCCGUCAGUCUCUUGCUUGGUGUCGAGUUCGCUGUCGACGAGGAAGCUUUGCCACCGUUUCUCCGGUGCUUCGCAUACGGGGAUACUAAAUAAGAGCAAAUUAGUUGCUAUUGAUGCUGGAAACAGGGGCUACCCUCUGAAUAAGAUCUGCUACAUAUACUAUCAUCUACUCCUAGACAUCCAAACCUCAUUGAGCACACCAGUGAGAAAGCCAAGGAAGCUAAAGAUAUACAACAUAGCUAAAAGAAGAAAUAUAAUUAUCAGGUAGUAGUGACUUAGUUGGAAUGUGAUUUCAGUUUUUAAUUUGUUUGGAAUUGGAAUGUGAUUUGAGUUUCAAUUCUGACCUCUUUGAUUAUAGUAUCCUUAAUUCUCUUGUUACACAUUUCAUAUAAAAUACCAGUGAUGAAUUGUUGAUAAAUAAAACACAGUUAUGAAUUGAAUUGAAACUUGAUAUAUGCUCUGUGCCUGUUGUUUGGCUGCAUUAUCUAAGAAAUAUUUUGUUUGGCUGCAUUAUCUAAGGAAUAUUUUGUAUGACUGCAUUAUCUAAGGUCUGUGCCUGUUGUUAGUAUGCUUUAAAAUUUACUUCAAUUUAUUUAUCAAGUUGAAAAGAUCUAAUGCUGGGGAAGCUAGACUAGAUCCUCCUUGUUCUAGCUUUCCAAAUGAUUAAUAGUUGAAUUAGUUCGAUAAUUGGUUAAAUACAUGUAUAUGAAGAAUCAGUGCACAAUGCCUCUAUGCAAAUAUAUCAUGAAUGAAUGUGAUUUUUACAUUCUUUUUCCACCUUGUAAUCUUUGUGUCUGGGUUAUGUGUAUAAUAAGAGGCCUAUCAUUUUCCACCUUAUAUGGCACCUACUGCAGGUUCUGUCUGAAAGGUUUUUCAAGGCACAUGUUUCAAAAUUGGAUAAUAAAAUGUGUGUUUAGCUUCAAUGAAAUUUAAUGAAAAGAUCGAUUUAUGAUAAAGCCAAAAUCUCAGCACCCAUCUCAUUAGACACUAGUUCACAAAAUGAUCCUAACCAAUCAUCUGACUCAAUUCCUCUUUUUAUUGUUAUUGUUAUUAUUUUUUUGUUCUAUUUUUAUUUACAUUGUGUUUCAUGUCAUAAAUAGCUUGGUUCUCUCAUUUAUUUGCAUAGCACUUGCUGCUAUAGAAUUCUUUCUGAUGGAAUACUUAUAAUUUAAUCCUACAAGAAGGUACAUAAUUGGAUGUUGAAACUAAUUGGGUUAUGAGUAUGAUAAGAGGCCUAAAGAAAUGAUAGGGUUAUGGGUUAUCAGUAUUUUUGUGCUGUUAUG